AAAGGGUUGGAAUGUCUAGAUCGUAAAUUUGAGCAUGGAUUGCUUGCUCAGUAACUAGCAUGUGGGCUGCAUUCAAGCUGAUAUAUAUGCUAAGCUGGACUUGAGCUCGAGCACUUGUAUAUCACUGCAAGUUUAACUACAAGUACUAAUAACCAAUACAUGCCUACAUGCAUAAAAAAAUAUGCAAAUUGAUGCCACUUUCCAG
rnacentral:misc_RNA from 1 species